AAUUUUCAGAAUGAUUUGGUCUUAAGGGAUCCUUUUAUUGUUCAUUGUAUUUUCUGACAAGUCGUUGAGAUUUCGCCAUAAUUUGACAAGUUCACCACCAAAAAAAUCUGAAAUUUCCCUUUCUUUUUGCUUCUUUUUUCAGUAAAUCAGUGACUCAAGUGAGCAGCGGCCACCCAAGGCAACCUCCAUCUUCUCCCCUUGCUGUCAGAUUCAUUUCCUCUCCACCAAAACCUCACUAAACAACUCCAUCCCCUUCGUCUUUCGAUCCAUUUUUUGUGAGCUUCCACCACCCAACCAAUCGCCUGAAGCAUCUCUCUCCAACAGCAGCAAACAGCAGCCUAUACCUCAUCCAUUUGCUCUCCAAAACAACCUUUAAACACCCAACAACAGAUCCAAAACGAGAUCAUCAGCUCAACAAUACCAACUCAAAACUUCUCUUAUUUUUCUUUACCAGCAAAAUUCGACCCAAAUCCCUCUUCGUUUUUCCAUUUUCCGGGCAGUAGCUUCGGUAAUCCAAGCAUGCUCAAGGCUCAUCACAACAACCAGCAAACCAACAACCAACAAACGAGUCCAAGUUUCGACUCCAUCGAACCCACAAAACAUUCAGAUCCGGCAAGAAAACAUGAACUCCAAUUAGCAACAAAAUUAGAGCCUCAUAAAUCAGAGCUCCAAUAAUCUUUUCACUUUCAUCAAUGUUGUAGGUAAUUGCUUUUUCAAGUAACCCACUUAACUGUGAAUAUUAUCUUUUCAUCAUUUAUCUAAUUGUUUGUUUUGAUAAUGGUCUUGUCAUUAUGUUUUUGAAAAUAUUGAUUGGGUUUGUGAUUUACUUCUCUAUUUAGAGUAAUUUUGUUAUAUGAUAUGGAUACACUAUUUUACUAUUCUAUUUUUAUUUUUUCAUUUUCAAUGACUUUAGAUUUGACUUUCUUAUUUUUAUUGUAGCUGCUUAAUUUUGUUCAUAUAUGAUUAAUGGUUGCUAAUUUAUUGAAGUUAAUUGUUUGCAUUUUAAGAGGUUCUCAUAAGCUUUGUUAUUUUGUUUAUCACAUGGUUAAUAUUGUUAUUUUAUUUGGUUAUCUUUUGGGAUAUUACAUGUUGCAUUGUCGUCCAUUUUGUUAGUCUUAUAUGAUAGUGUUGAAGUUAUUUUCAUUUGUUAUUAUUUUCUAUUUUUUAAUUAUUGAUUUGUGAUAUCUUCUCUUAGGUAGAUCCUGUUAGGAAAAUCUAAGAUUUUAGUGGGUCUUGCUCUUGAUGUUAAAUUUGAUUGUAUGCACUUUAGUAUUAUUAUCUUUUAGAAUUUUCUAGGGAGUAAUGUCAUUGCACUUAGGUUAUUGUUUUUUUUUUUAGGUAGUGCAUAUUAUUUUAUAAUAUUAUUUGUGAGUUACAUGAAAUAUAUAAAUUGAAGUGACCAAUGAAAAAAAUCUCUCCAUCAGUUUUGGAGGCCUCCACAUUGUAAAAGAUGAAAUUUUAGUUUAAGUUUAUAUAUUGAGUUAAAAAAUUAGUCGACGAAGAAAUUACUGUCGAUUUUCAAGGCCUUCCAUGUUAAUAAGAUGAACUUUUUAUUUUUAAGUUAUUAUUUACUUCAUUUAUUUUUAUCAUAUAUAUUUGGUGCUAACA